CCCGGCCGCCUGCUCGCCGUCGCCGCUCGCCCCGGCCACCCGCUCGCCGCUCGCCGUCGCCGCCCGCUCGCCGCCCGCCCGCACGUGAAUGGCAGGCGCGGCGCCCUCCGCCUCCGCGCGCCAGAUAUCCCACACGCACUUCAUCGAGCAGCUCCGCCGCGCCGCCCGCGCCCGCGACGGCGAGGCGCUCCACGCCUGGGCGCUCAAGUCCGGCGCCGCGUCCCACGCGCCCGUCUCCAACUCCCUCAUCACCUUCUACGCCUCCCUCCCGCGGCCGCUCCUCGCCGCGGCCCUGGCCGUCUUCGCGGGCAUCCCCGCCGCCGCCCGCGACAUCGCCUCCUGGAACUCCCUGCUCAACCCGCUCUCGCACCACCACCCGCGCGCCGCGCUCUCCCACUUCCAAUCCAUGCUCUUCUCCUCCUCGCCCGCCAUCCUCCCGUCCCCGCAUUCCUUCGCCGCCGUCUUCACGGCCGCCGCCCGCGCGCGCUCCGCGUCCGCCGGGGCAGCCGCCCACGCCCUCGCUUGCAAGGUCCCCUCGGCUGGCUCCAACGUGUUCGUGUCCACCUCUCUGCUCAACAUGUACUGUAAGCUGGGCCUCGUCCCCGAUGCCCGGAGAGUGUUCGACGAAAUGCCGGUGCGGAACGAGUUCUCUUGGGCCGCUAUGGUGGCAGGCUAUGCUUCCACAAAGUGCUCCGAGGAGGCCUUUGAGAUCUUCCAGCUGAUGCUUGCGGAGUGCCCGUCACAGAAAAACGAGUUUGUGGCCACGGCUGUUCUUAGUGCGGUCAGUGUGCCGUCGGGCUUGCCGAUGGGGGUGCAGCUACAUGGGUUGGCUGUGAAGGAUGGGUUGGUGGUGUUUGUGUCGGUUGAGAACUCGCUCGUCACAAUGUAUGCAAAGGCUGGGUGUAUGGAUGCAGCAUUACAUGUGUUUGCGUCGUCUAAGGAGAGGAACUCCAUCACUUGGUCCGCGAUGAUCACUGGCUACGCGCAGAAUGGGAAUGCAGAAAGCGCAUUUAGAAUGUUCUUGCAGAUGCUUUCUGCGGGGUUUUCACCAACUGAGUUCACUUUGGUUGGGGUGCUCAAUGCGUGUAGUGAUGUGGGAGCAUUGAUGGAAGGAAAGCAGACACAUGGUUUGAUGGUGAAGCUUGGGUUUGAGGCGCAGGUGUAUGUGAAGAGCGCACUGGUGGACAUGUAUGCCAAAUGCGGCUGUAUUACUGAUGCAAAGGAAGGUUUUGAUCAAUUUCAUGAGCUUGACAUUGUCCUUUGGACGGCCAUGGUUGCCGGGCAUGUGCAGAACGGGGAGCAUGAGGAAGCCUUGAGAUUGUAUGCCAGGAUGGACAAGGAGGGCAUCAUUCCGACUAACUUGACUAUAACCAGUGUUCUUAGAGCAUGUGCUGGCCUUGCAGCAUUGGAGCCAGGGAAGCAAUUGCACACGCAAAUCCUCAAGUUCGGAUUUGGUUUGGGGUCUUCUGUCGGAAGUGCCUUGUCUACAAUGUAUUCAAAGUGUGGAAACCUUGACGAUGGCAUGGUUGUAUUCAGAAGGAUGCCUCAUAAGGAUGUUAUUGCAUGGAACUCGAUCAUUUCUGGAUUCUCUCAAAAUGGACGUGGAAAUGAAGCACUUGACCUGUUUGAGGAAAUGAAGCUAGAGGGCACUGCUCCAGAUCAUAUAACAUUCAUUAAUGUGUUAUGUGCUUGUAGUCACAUGGGCCUAGUUGACAGAGGAUGGAUUUACUUUAGGUCAAUGACCAAAGACUAUGGUUUAACUCCUCGGCUGGAUCAUUAUGCUUGCAUGGUUGAUAUUCUUAGCCGAGCAGGGAUGCUAAAUGAAGCAAAAGAUUUCAUAGAGUCCAUUAGUAUUGACCAUGGAACAUGUUUGUGGCGUAUAUUAUUGGGAGCAUGUCGCAGUAUACGGGAUUUUGAUGUCGGAGCAUAUGCUGGUGAGCAGCUGAUGGAGUUAGGUACUGGGGACUCCUCUGCAUAUAUAUUGUUGUCAAACAUCUAUGCUGCCCAGAGAAAAUGGACUGAUGUUGAGCGGGUGAGGCAUUUGAUGAGACAUCGGGGAGUUAGCAAAGAUCCAGGAUGCAGCUGGGUUGAGCUUAACAGCAGAAUUCAUGUGUUUGUUGUUGGGGAGCAGCAACAUCCUGAGGCGGAAAAUAUAAAUACAGAGUUGAGAAGGCUCGCUAAACACAUGAAGGACGAAGGGUACCGUCCAACAUCUAAAUUUUCAUGGGAUGAAGAACUGGAUACAUUGAGAGGAUCUCAUGAAGAAGAUCAAUUCGAGUUGAUAUCGGCAGUUUCUAGCUGACUUCUCAAAUGACAAGAACAGCUGAUGUGACCGUAAAGCGACACCUGUAACUAAAGAUGGACAAAAAUUCAGUAAUGUUCAUACAGAAAAUCAUGGAUGCACACCAUCUAUUCAGUUUGUAACAGCAAAGGAAAAUGUGUUACAACUAAGAGUGCAACCGACAUGAAUGCACUACAAACAACACAAACUCAGGAAACAUUUCAGGACAAGUGGAAUAAUAAUGCCACUAAGAAAAAUAUAUAUCAAAGUACUAUGCAUCACAUAUAUCAAGGGCAAGGAGAGGAGGACGGCAGCCGAGGAGAGGAGGGCGGCGACCGAGGAGAAGAAGACGGAGGUUGAGGAAAGGAAUGUGGUCAUGGAAGAGAGAAUCAAAAGCAUUGAACAAGAGCAAAAGUUCAUGUUCAUGGACACAAGUGGUCUUGGUGACAAGGCGAAAGCAUACGUGGAGCUUUGUCGCGAUCAAGUGUUGGCGGUGAGGUCUAUUGGAGGCUUCAUGAUGGGAGGAUUCAUGGGAGGCAUGAGAGGAGCCAUGGGCGCCAUGGGAAGAGGCAUGGGUGGUGCAAUGGAUGGGAAUGAAAAACAAUGGUGCCAAACUGCCAAUGAUGUCAAUGGUGGCAUUGGAGAAGAAGCAAUCAAUGGAGAGGAAGCAAGCCAUGAAGAAGAUGCAAGCACAACUAAUGGCAAUGAAGGCAAUGCCAUUUGAGAGGCUAUGCAUUCAUUUUGUAUGCACUUUUGUUUUUGUUUGCGAUGCACAAUGAUUGUGGUUUGAAUUUGAAUUUGAUAUACGGAUGAUUGAACUUGAAUUUGAUAUGUUGAUGAUCAUAUGUGUUGUGAUCUUGCAAAGUUUUAA